rnacentral:tRNA from 1 species
UUAAUUGAAACCAAAAUAGAGGUAUAUCACUGUUAAUGAUAUUAAUGAAUUACAAUCCAAUUAAA